GUGUUUAUUCGUGUCGCUUCCGCCGCUUCGAAUGCGACUCUGAGACCUCAGACUCGAACGGCGACCGAAUAGUCCGAAUUUUACUCUCAAACUGUACGGUUUGACAGCAGCGCAGUUGAUAGCAGAAUAACAGUAUCGCAGAGAGAGUGCAGAGAGGUGGUAGGCAGGGCAAAGGCAGCGCGUCGUGUAUUUUCUUCUUUCUUCCUUCAACAAAAUCUGCCACACUGCCACAAAAAACAACAACAGUUGUUCCACAGAGAGCGAGCGAGAAAGAGUAUCCAAAAGUUUAAACAAUUUAAAUCUGUGGGCUACAGUGCAAUACCAAAACGAACACUAGAACAUUCCAACUAAAAGUUGCUUAACCCUUGAUCCAAGUGCAAUAAAGAAA